UACAGAGGAGCCAAGCGUUGUCCGGAUUGACUGGGCGUAAAGCGCACGCAGGCGGUUGCGCGCGGGGGGUGUGAAAUCUGGCCGCUUAACGGCCAGGCGCCAUCCCAUACGGCGCGACUGGAGUGAUGCAGAGGUCGAUGGAAUUGCCGGUGUAGUGGUGAAAUGCGUAGAUAUGUGGAGGAACACCGAUGGCGAAGGCAGCCCCCUGGGCUAGUACUGACGCUCAUGCACAAAAGCGUGGGGAGCAAACAGG
rnacentral:rRNA from 1 species